rnacentral:rRNA from 1 species
CCUACGGGUGGCAGCAGUGGGGAAUAUUGCACAAUGGGGGAAACCCUGAUGCAGCGACGCCGCGUGAGUGAAGAAGUAUUUCGGUAUGUAAAGCUCUAUCAGCAGGGAAGAAGAAAGACGGUACCUGACUAAGAAGCCCCGGCUAACUACGUGCCAGCAGCCGCGGUAAUACGGAGGGGGCAAGCGUUAUCCGGAUUUACUGGGUGGAAAGGGAGCGUAGACGGCAGUGCAAGUCUGAAGUGAAAGCCCAGGGCUCAACCCUGGGACUGCUUUGGAAACUGUGGAGCUAGAGUGCUGGAGAGGUAAGUGGAAUUCCUGGUGUAGCGGUGAAAUGCGUAGAUAUUAGGAGGAACACCAGUGGCGAAGGCGACUUACUGGACAGUAACUGACGUUGAGGCUCGAAAGCGUGGGGAGCAAACAGGAUUAGAUACCCCAGUAGUC